rnacentral:rRNA from 1 species
UACGUAGGGGGCAAGCGUUGUCCGGAUUCAUUGGGCGUAAAGGGUGCGUAGGCGGCGCGGUAAGUCGGGUGUGAAAUUUCGAGGCUUAACUUCGAAACUGCAUUCGAUACUGCCGUGCUUGAGGACUGGAGAGGAGACUGGAAUUUACGGUGUAGCGGUGAAAUGCGUAGAGAUCGUAAGGAAGACCAGUGGCGAAGGCGAGUCUCUGGAAAGCUGCUGACGCUGAGGCACGAAGGCCAGGGGAGCAAACGGG